UUGCUUUAGUUAAAUAUUGAUUUUGUUGAAUGCUUAAAGUGUACUUUUUUGUGAUUUGUUUUGUUUUAGUGCUUAUGUUUUUACCAAAUACUUUUAUUUUGAAAUAUGAGAGGAAGUGCGGAGGCGCAGUGUGUGUAUUUUCGCGCACUUUCUAAGGGAAGCGUCUGAUUAACGCUACCGGAGACGUAAGGUGAUCGUUUUGUGCAUGCUGUUAAAAUAGUUUAUUUCUCCAACUAAGCUCCUGGCCGACAAAGGGCACAAGUUUCAGAUGUCAAUGUGACUCCUUCACUGUCCAGCCACACAAGUUCAGGUUCAGGGUACCAGCCUUUAGUUUCACAUUGUAGAUGAAGUCCACCAGCACCAUCAAAUCCAUAUAUAGUAAUGAGUGGAGGACCUCCUACAGCUACAAGUCAGGGAGGUGAACUACCGAAUCUUUGAAAUCAAGUCUAAACCACUCGACUUUCAUGUCUACAGCACUGAUGUUGGGUCUGAGAGAACAGGGCAGAAUCACAUCUUCACCAGAUACAGUGAGGAGAGAAUCUAC